CAGCAUUCGGCGUGACACUCACACAGGCUCUGUCCGAGCAAACUUCACGGUGAAUAACAAGACAAUGCACAUAAAUCCCUAACUCUGCUCCAAACACUGGAUUGUGUGGUUUAUCUCAGAGACUGAACUGGCCUGAAGCGAAAGCUGAGAAGAUGUCUCAGAAGAUUUAAAUGUCACACUGUCCUCUCCCUCUCUUAUCCCUAUUAUUGGACUUUGUUUAAAAUUGUUUAAAAAGGAAACCACUUUGGUUGAUAACAAUUCUUCAAAUUCAGUUUUAGACACUGUUGAGCAGUGUGAUGAAGACUGUGGUGAGAUAGAGGAAGAAAAUAUACAAGACAGUAGUGUUUUUAGCAGUAGUGUUUUCAGAUGUUGAGUGCUGUUAAUUUUGUGGUAGAUCACACAUCUAUCCUUAUCAGUGAGGUUGGAUCUCUACAGAGAAAAACAGUAUCUUUUUCAGGGAGAUAAUCCACAGAGAGAGUCAUUUCUAAACAGUUGUCCAUUCCACUUGUGCUUUACAAUGAUGAAUGUGAGAAGGUCAAUCCACAUAAACCAAUCCUAGCUUGUGAACUGAGGUUUUUGAUCCAUCUUACUCUUAAAUGCUUGUGACCUGAGUAUCUUUCUGGCCUAAACUCUCACUUCUUGUUGGCAGUGUAUGGAUGAUGUAAAAACCUAUGGAAUAAAUGCUGUCUUAAAUCCAACUGUGUGAGCAAUUAAGGAUCUGGAAUUGGAGGGAACUCAGGUUGACACAAAUCAUUUCAAGGGCACUGUCAAAGCAGGAAGCGGACAAGUUUGUGAGGAUAACCUGAGUCUUAAUGCCAUCCUAGGCUAUACACAGAGAGCUUCUCAGGGUAAGCUGUGUGUCGAUGGUGUCGGGUACAUAGAGAGGUUAUAAGAGGACAGACAGUUGAGGAUCUGUCAAUGAAGUGCAACUGGGAUAACUACCACUCUACUUCAGAGUAACUGAACCUGGAUCAGAAGAGAGUGUUCACUAAAUAAACUUCAGUUCUACCAUGUAACUGACAAUGAAAGUCCAGAUGUCAUGCAUGACGUUCUGGAAGGGGUUGGAGGUUACGAAACCGAGCUUGUUCUCAAUUCUCUGAUUGAACAAAAACUGAAUAAUAGACUGACAAGCUUUGACUAUAGUUUUUCUGAUAGUCACAACAAGCCAUCUGCUAUCUAACCUCAGGAUCUUAAAAAACCCUCUUAUGACACGAGACUUUAUUCCAAGAGGAACUGGGAUCAACCCUGGCAACUACUACUUUCAUUACUGGGCUGUAGGGAGUUGAUUUUCUCUCCAGCCUUGACUGCAGACGCGGAUAUGUUUUUGGAGAAUCUGAUCGAGGAACACCAUAGACUGUUUUUGGAGCUUUAUCCAGACAGGCAUUUGAAGCCAAAACACCACUUUAUGAUUCAUUAUCCUGGGACCAUCAGGAAACUUGGACCUUUGGUUUUUUGUUGUUGUUGUUUUUGAAAGACUACGUCAUAUAACCUGCAAUUUCUGCAACAUUUGUAAAACACAGGCUUUCUGACACCAGAUGAUGUUGUGCUACACCCUGCUCUCUGUGAAGAUGUUCUCACAUGACAUUGAAGUGAGUCCUGGAUACGCCACACUCCUGGGAUCUAUAGAGGGUUUUGAGAGAGUGAAAUGUGGUUUUGAGGGAAUUCAAUUGUCUAUGUCUAGGCAUAUGUCUAUUUACAAUUUUUGAUUAAAUGCAAGGGAACUACCCACAGGUCAGGAAUGACACUGUGUUUUUACACACAUUUUUUCAAUGUGUUUUUUAUUGUUCUUGUGUGCGUAUUAUAAUAAAGUGUAUCCUAUGUAGCCAAGAAAAAAAAAUGUAAGAAAGUAAGAAAACGGGGGGAGGGCCACCUCCUCAAAAAUAGACCACUGCAGAGGAGUUGGCCCUGUCCAGUAACCAGGGUCGACCCAUGAUGGAUGGCAUUGAUGGGAGUGCAUCCUCAGAUCCAGGUGCUGCCUCCUCCAAACAGGAUACACUUAUACAGGCUGGAGGAAGUUCAGUUACCUUGUUGGAGCCAGCACACCCGCCUACAGGGUCUCAUACAGAGGUAGUAUCCAGCACAAAACACACCAUGAGAACAUGCUAUUGGCAAUAAAUUUAUUGCAUGGCUUUAUUUGGAUACCGGUGAAGCUUGUGAGGAGACAAUAUCUGUGUGCUCAGAGACCACUGCAGAGGUAAAUGUGCUUUGUUAGAACACCUGUUAAUGAAGAAGAUAAAGUUUCUCAUGUCUAUUGUAUUAUAGGAUUACUCACUGCAUCCUCUUCAUGAGGCCUCUUCUUCACGCAGCUUCCCGGACCAGAGCAAAAGAGUAAUGUAUCUUUCCAUAUAAAGUUACAACACUAUAAAAUCAUAACCAGUCUGUUACUACAUUAGCAGGAAACAGAGACCAUCAGAGCCCUCUAUAAAAGAAAUUUGGAGCUGGACUGUGACAUAAAAUUACUUGAAAAAAAGAAGCUGAAACUACAGAUUGAGGAGUUGGAAUACAAUAUGUUGAUAUGUGAAGCAAUAGUUCUGAAUUAAAAGACUGUUUUAAGAAUGCACUAUUUUUAUCUUUUUUUGUUUAAGCAACGUGAAAAUCAAUAAAACAC